rnacentral:rRNA from 1 species
UGAGUUUGAUCAUGGCUCAGGACGAACGCGGGUGGCGUGCCUAAUACAUGCAAGUUGAGCGCUGAAGGUUGGUACUUGUACCGACUGGAUGAGCAGCGAACGGGUGAGUAAUGCGUGGGGAAUCUGCCUUUGAGCGGGGGACAACAUUUGGAAACGAAUGCUAAUACCGCAUAAAAACUUUAAACACAAGUUUUAAGUUUGAAAGAUGCAAUUGCAUCACUCAAAGAUGAUCCCGCGUUGUAUUAGCUAGUUGGUGAGGUAAAGGCUCACCAAGGCGGUGAUACAUAGCCGACCUGAGAGGGUGAUCGGCCACAUUGGGACUGAGACACGGCCCAAACUCCUACGGGAGGCAGCAGUAGGGAAUCUUCGGCAAUGGACGAAAGUCUGACCGAGCAACGCCGCGUGAGUGAAGAAGGUUUUCGGAUCGUAAAACUCUGUUGGUAGAGAAGAACGUUGAUGAGAGUGGAAAG